GAUGAACGCUGGCGGCGUGCCUAAUACAUGCAAGUCGAGCGAACGGACGAGAAGCUUGCUUCUCUGAUGUUAGCGGCGGACGGGUGAGUAACACGUGGAUAACCUACCUAUAAGACUGGGAUAACUUCGGAAAACCGGAGCUAAUACCGGAUAAUAUUUUGAACCGCAUGGUUCAAAAGUGAAAGACGGUCUUGCUGUCACUUAUAGAUGGAUCCGCGCUGCAUUAGCUAGUUGGUAAGGUAACGGCUUACCAAGGCAACGAUGCAUAGCCGACCUGAGAGGGUGAUCGGCCACACUGGAACUGAGACACGGUCCAGACUCCUACGGGAGGCAGCAGUAGGGAAUCUUCCGCAAUGGGCGAAAGCCUGACGGAGCAACGCCGCGUGAGUGAUGAAGGUCUUCGGAUCGUAAAACUCUGUUAUUAGGGAAGAACAUAUGUGUAAGUAACUGUGCACAUCUUGACGGUACCUAAUCAGAAAGCCACGGCUAGCUACGUG
rnacentral:rRNA from 1 species